UACGGGGGGAGCAAGCGUUGUUCGGAUUUACUGGGCGUAAAGGGCGCGUAGGCGGCCACCGCAAGUCGACUGUGAAAUCUCCGGGCUUAACCCGGAAAGGUCAGCCGAUACUGCGGGGCUAGAGUGCAGAAGGGGCAACUGGAAUUCUCGGUGUAGCGGUGAAAUGCGCAGAUAUGAGGAGGAACACCGGUGGCGAAGGCGGGUCUCUGGGCCGAUACUGACGCUGAGGAGCGAAAGCGUGGGGAGCGAACAGG
rnacentral:rRNA from 1 species